UUAUUUAUUUAUACAAUAUAUUUUUGUUAUCUGUGUUAAAGAAAAUGUAAGUUGUGUUCUAUUGGAAUAGGAGAAGUUUGGUACGCUUCUUUGUGGUGUUUUGUUUCACCCACUACCUGUGAACAUGGUCGGCCUGGCGGGUUGUCUAAGCCGGCCCACCAAUGUACUGUGGGUUGUUGUGUUGGGUAGUCCUCUGUGCUACAGACGGAGAAUGUAGGGACGCCCUGGACCUCAUGUCGGUUGGUGUGUUGGUUGGUCCUCCGUGCUAGACAGAGUUGUGAGGACGCCCUGGACUGGAUGAUAGUUGGGGUGACAUGUCAGGUGUGCUACGGGGAUUCGAAGAGCGUCAGUGUGGGCCACUGAAGUCGAAACACUUCAAGCAAUAAACACCUGUUACGAUUUGUGGUUUAUUACACAUUUGGAAUCCCCAACAUUUCGACUUCAACCACAAUGGGCUGGCAAGAGGAGAUGGAAUUGUUAAAGAGGAAGAGGGCCAUUGCCAAGGGGAAAUUCACAAGAAAGGUGACCCUGCUGGAUGAGGGUGUACGGGAAGGUGAGCCAGUAUCAGUAUUGAAGAAUAACUAUGAACAGAUUUCUGAGGCCUUUCAACACCUAGAAGACAGUAAUGAUGUGAUAUUAAAAUAUGUGUGUGAUAAUAAAUUAGAAGACAAGUUAGUUAAGGAGGCUGAAGAAUACAUGAUAGAUUGUGAAAGAAUCAUGAAGAAAAGACUAACAGAAAUUAGUAGCAUUGAAAACAUACAGAACAGUGUCAAGCUUAAAGUAAAGAUAAAGGCAUUUGAGCCUCCUAAAUUUGAUGGGAAUUUAAGAGAGUACCCUCGUUUUAAGGAGGACUUUAAAAAUCUAGUCAAAAGUGUGUAUAGUGAAGAUGCGUAUGCAUUGAAAAUGUGUCUCAGUGGUGAUGCCCUUCAGACUGUCAGAGGUGCAGAAGGUAAUUAUGAAGAGAUGUUUGAAAGGUUAGAUGACAAGUUUGGAAAUGCGAGAAAGGUGGUGGACUUGGUAAUAAGUGACCUUAGGGCUUUGAAAAGGAUCAAUGAAGGUGAUACCAAAGGAUUUAUAAGGAUGGUGGAUCAGGUGGAACAGUGUUGGCUAGAUUUGAAAAAUAUAAACUUGAAUGAGGAACUUAAUAUUGCUAAUGUAGUCAGUCAUAUUGAGAAGGUGUUGCCCACACUUCAGAAGAGGGAGUGGGUAAUAAAGGCAGAAGAAGUAUCUGCUACUAGUGAUCUCUUUCCCACUUUAUUGAAAUUUUUGCAAAGGGAGAGAAAGGUAUUGGAGUAUAUGAAUUCUAGUGUCAGAUCUACUGGCGGUGAUAGAAGUUCAGUACAUCAUGUAAAUAAUUCAGCUGACAAGGUCAUGGAGUCAGAUCUGGUAACACUAAUAAAACAAAUGAAGGAAGAGCAACAACUAAAGAAUAAAGAUUUAGAGUCAUGUAUUGUAAAUUUGACGGAGAUGGUGAAAGGUACCCACUUGAAGACUGGAAAUAAUGAGGGAGGAUGCUGGAUUCACAAUUCCAGGAACCAUGAUACUCUUGAUUGUUAUAAAUUUAAGAAUCUCAGCAACAAGGAGAGGUUUGAGUUAGCUAGAAGCAAUGGAAUAUGUUUUAAAUGCUUAAAGGGAUAUCAUCAGGCAUGGAAUUGUAAUACAAACAAGUUGUGUGAUGUCAGGAUCAGGGGUCAAGGUGUGUGUAACCGUCAUCAUCAUCCACUGGUGCAUUUUGAACAGGAAGAAGGUGCUAGUCAUAAUACAGUAUCUGCAAACACUCUGAACACCUUAUUGAAUAUCAGUACUGUGUACAGUAACACUCAACCUAUAACAGUACUGUGGGAUUCAGGUUCUGACAUAACCUUGGUGACACACAGUAUGGCAGAAAAACUAAGUUUGAAGGGUAAGGAUGUGAAUUUAUCCAUGAUCAAGGUUGGCAAUGUAAUUGAACAUCAUUCUACCAAAGAAUAUUGCAUACCACUGAUUGAUAGGACUGGGCAUGUAUGGGAAAUUAAUGCCAUUGGUAUAGAGGAAAUAUCUGCUAAAAUCAAUGAAAUUAAUGUGUCAGGAGUUAAGGAGUUAUUUGUAGGAGUAUCAAACCAUGAUAUUAAUUGCCCUUGUGGUGAGAUUGACAUGCUGAUUGGGGCCAAUUACAGUGAAUUAUUGCCUAAAGUUGUUCAGACUAAUGAAGGUCUUCAAUUGCUAGAGAAUCCAUUUGGAUUCAGUAUACGUGGCAGACACAGCAAAAUAACAGCCUCAGGGAGCACGACGAACCAUGUGAUUGUGAGAACUCACAAGGUGUCAAGCUCAAUAAGCCUCAAUGAGAUCAAGGUAGAACCUACAGAUACACUUAAGUCACAAUUAGAUAAAUUCUUUGCUUUAGAGGAGAGUGGGGUGCAGUGUGACACAAGAUGCCUUAAAUGCCUGUGUAAGGGUUGUCCUGUAAGUGACUGUGUCAAUAUUAAGGAAGAAAGAGAACUGAAAUUGAUUGAGGAGGGAUUAGUAUAUCAUGAAGAAGGGAAGUAUUGGACAGCAAGCUAUCCUUGGAUAAGGGACCCGAGACAUCUUAAGAACAAUGUAAAAGUGGCCGUGGCUAGAUUAAAAACUACAGAAAAUAGACUGAAAAUAUUGGAUAUCCAGUAUGCCCAGAGUUAUCACAAUGAAAUCAAAGACAUGGUGAAAAGGGGGGUAGCGAGACAAUUAAGUGAAGAGGAAAUGCAGUCAUACAAUGGCCCAAUUCACUACAUUUCCCAUCAUGAAGUAUUGAAACCAGAUUCUGCUUCAACACCUCUGCAUAUUGUAUUUAACUCAUCUUCAUCAUACAUGGGACAAAAACUUAAUGAUUUUUGGGCAAAAGGGCCAGUUGUUCUUAACAACAUGAUUGGAGUCUUGCUAAGAUUUAGACAGGAAAGGGUUGCCAUAACUGGUGAUAUAUCAAAAAUGUAUCAUUCUGUGAAAAUCAACACACUGGACCAACACACACACCGAUUUCUUUGGAGAGAUUUAAACAGUAACAGACCACCUGAUCACUAUGCCCUGACCUCAGUGACUUUCGGGGAUAGGCCAAGUGGGACCAUAGCUGUGCUAGCAUUAAGGCAUACUACAGAAAAAUUUGGUAAAGGAGAUCCUGAAGUUUAUAACAUGAUUGUAAACAACACAUAUGUUGAUGAUAUUCUCUAUUCCAUUGAUACGGUAGAAAAGGCUUUUGAUUUGAUACAAAGAGCAGAACAUGUAAUAUCUCUUGGAAACUUUCAUGUGAAGCAUCGGAUAGUAAGUGGGCAACAUGAGAACCAUAGUAUCAACAUCAUGGAAUCUGACAAUGAGAAAAUUCUAGGGCUCAAGUGGAAUCCCAAGGAUGAUAAUUUCUCUUUUAAUGUUAAGGUAAAUUUCUCUCCUAAAGUUAAAAAGAUCCGGAGUGGUCCAAACUGGGAUCAUAGAGAGAUUAAGCCAAACUUCCCUGAGGUGCUAACUCGCAGAAGGAUACCAAGUCAAGUGGCAUCCUUCUAUGAUCCAUUGGGGUUAGCUGUACCAGUUGUGUUGAGAGCAAAAAUUUUGAUGAGAUCUAUGAUCUCAAAAUGUGAUCCAAAUAAGAGAGUGGAAUGGGAUGAACCAUUAGAUGCCGAUAUUGUAAAUGAAUGGAAAUGUUUUUUCACUGAUUUGUAUGGAGUAGAAAACUGCACAUUUAAGAGACCUCUGAAACCAGCCAAUGCAUCAGGUAAACCCAUACUUGUGAUCUUCUCUGAUGGCAGCACACAAGCGUAUGGAGCAUGUGCGUAUGUUAGAUGGCAGACUGAUGACAACAAAUUUCAGACUAAUUUGAUCAUGGCUAAAAACAAAAUAGCACCUAUGAGACAAUUGACCAUUCCUCGUCUAGAACUUUGUGGAGCUCUUUUGUCAGCUAGAUUAAGAGAAACUAUAGUGAGAGAAUGCAACUGGGAAUUUGAAUCCAUAUUCCAUAUUGUAGAUUCAUCUAUUGUCAGAGAUCAGAUUCAAAAGGAAUUGCAUGGGUUCCGGCCCUUUGUGGCUGUCCGCAUAGCAGAAAUACAACUGAAAACAAAUCUAAAGGAUUGGUGGUGGGUGGACACAGUUCAGAAUGUGGCAGAUUUAACUUCUAGACCAUGCACUUCAGAUAAGAUUAAGGAGGAUUCAACUUGGCAACAUGGGCCUGAAUUUUUGAGAUUGCCAAUUUCAGAAUGGCCAGUUAAACAGCAAUGUGCAGAUCACUUACCGGAUAGAAUAGGCAUUACUAUGACAGUUGCUAAAGGACAUCUGAGAAAUUUAAGCAUGAUUAAUGUGAAAGGAUUUAGCAAAUAUGAAACUUUGUCGAGAGUUACAUGUAGGAUAAUGUCUAUAUUCAAACAUAAAUCCUUAAAAGCUGUGCUGAAGGAGCCUACGUCUGAGGAAAUGGAAGAAGCAGAAGUACUGUGGGUAAAAACCAUGCAAAGUAACAUGACUAACUGGAAAGACAGAUACAGAAGGUUAGGCCCCAUAAUGACAGACAAUGGAGUAAUUUUAGUGGGUCAAAGAAUAUCAAAAUGGUUAAAGGAAAACUGGAAUCAAGAUCACUUCAUGUUGAUACCAGCUAACCACCCAGUUACUAGACUGUAUGUGUCCAGCUUACAUAGUAGAGAUCAUGCAGGUAUUGAAACCACCUUGGCCAAGUUACAGAGUAAGUUUUGGGUGCCGGGAGCCAGGAAAUUAAUAAAGUCAAUUAAAGAUAAAUGUGUCACAUGUAGAAAACUCUCAAAACAAACUGAGAACCAGUGUAUGGGUCAGGUGUUAGAAGAAAGAAUGAAGCCAACUCCACCAUUCUAUCAUACUGCUGUCGAUUUGUUUGGACCAUUCAAUAUUAAGGACACUGUUAAAAGGAGAACUCAUGGUAAGGUAUAUGGGGUAAUAUUCAACUGCUUAGUUACUAGGGCAGUUUAUGUAGAUUUGGCAGAAGGAUAUAGUGCAAGUGAUUUCAUGGCAACUUAUCAAAGAUUCAUCUCAGUCAGGGGUGCACCCAGAAUACUGUAUUCUGACAGAGGGAGCCAGCUGAUAGCAGCUGGAAAGAAUAUUGAAAGAAUUGGAAAAAAUGAAGGAGUUACUUGGAAAUAUAAUAGACCUAGUGAUGCACCAUGGUACAAUGGUGCCAGUGAAUCCCUUAUCAAAUCAGUGAAAAGAAAUCUUUGUAUUGCAAUUGGGGAUUCAGUAUUAACUUUUGGUGAACUUCAGACAGCCUUAUUUAAUGUAGCCAGUAUGAUGAAUGAAAGACCCAUAGGGGUAAAACCUUGCUUUAAUUUAGAACUUGGUAAUUACCUCUGCCCUAAUGAUCUAUUGCUUGGACGAGCUAGUGUAAAAUGUCCACAGGGAAUAUAUGAUUCAGAUGGAGACCAUAAAAGAAGAUUAGAGUUUAUUCAGAAAAUUGUUGAAUCAUUUUGGAGAAAAUGGCAGAGAGAUUUCUUUCCAACGAUGGUAGUAAGACAAAAAUGGCACACCAAUAGGAGAAAUGUAAGAGUGGGUGAUGUGGUUUUAGUUCAAGAUGCUAAUGCAGUUAGAGGUACCUGGAAAUUAGCUCAAGUAAUAAAGGCAGAUCCAGGUCGUGAUGGUGCUGUAAGAGAUGUAGACUUAAGGUAUAAGAUAGUCAAGGAAGGUAAAGGAUAUGAUGGGGUGACAGACAAAGUCAUGAGUAGGUCAGUGCAUAGGUUAAUAGUGUUAUUACCUAAGGAAGAACAAGAGUGAUGAUGAGCGUGUAGGAUCAUUAUAGAUAUGAUUUAUCUACAUGUACCAAAGCAUUCUAUGUACUACCUGUGUAUAUUGUAUGUUCACUUUGGUCGGGGUGGAGUGUAUCAUUAAAAUGAUAUGUUAACCAUCUAUUAUUUAUUUAUACAAUAUAUUUUUGUUAUGUGUUAAAGAAAAUGUAAGUUGUGUUCUAUUGGAAUAGGAGAAGUUUGGUACGCUUCUUUGUGGUGUUUUGUUUCACCCACUACCUGUGAACAUGGUCGGCCUGGCGGGUUGUCUAAGCCGGCCCACCAAUGUACUGUGGGUUGUUGUGUUGGGUAGUCCUCUGUGCUACAGACGGAGAAUGUAGGGACGCCCUGGACCUCAUGUCGGUUGGUGUGUUGGUUGGUCCUCCGUGCUACAGGUUAGUUGUGUUUAUUUACCCGUCAUGUGCUGUGAUUAGUAUAAUUUGGUGAAGGUUACAAAAUUAGGAUGUAUUAGUAAGAUAGGGUAAUGUACAAGGGAUAUAUUGUUGCCAGACAGAGUUGUGAGGACGCCCUGGACUGGAUGAUAGUUGGGGUGACAUGUCAGGUGUGCUACGGGGAUUCGAAGAGCGUCAGUGUGGGCCACUGAAGUGAGUACAUUAUGGGAAUUUAUUGAGUAUUAUGAGUGAUAUACAAGUGAAGUUUAGUUGGAUUUUGUAUACUGAUUGUUGCUUUAUUUUUAUAUUUGGGAUAUGAUUGUAACGGAUGUCAGAAUCUCUACAUGAAGUGUUAUUUUCUUGGUACCAUUGUGAGGGAUUGAACUGGGUGUACUAUGAUAUGUGGAUGUGUAUUGAUUUGCCCAUGUUUGCAGGUCGAAACACUUCAAGCAAUAAACACCUGUUACGA